rfam:Hordeum vulgare subsp. vulgare, WGS project CAJW01000000 data, contig: morex_contig_379677
CAAAUACUCCCUCCGUUCGGAAAUACUUGUCCUAAAAAUGGAUAUAAUUGAUGUAUCUAUAACUAAAAUAAGUCUAUAUACAUUCAUCUUUAGGAUAAGUAUUUUUGGACGGAGCGAGUAAUAA